ensembl:snRNA U6 U6 spliceosomal RNA
GUUCACUUUAGCUUCACAUAUACUAAAAUUGGAAUGAUACAGAGAAGAUUAGGAUGGUCCCUGCAAAAGGAUGACACACAAAUUCGUGAAGUGUUCCGUAUUUUA